rnacentral:rRNA from 1 species
UACGAAGGGUGCAAGCGUUACUCGGAAUUACUGGGCGUAAAGCGUGCGUAGGUGGUUUGUUAAGUCUGAUGUGAAAGCCCUGGGCUCAACCUGGGAAUUGCAUUGGAUACUGGCAGGCUAGAGUGCGGUAGAGGGUAGUGGAAUUCCCGGUGUAGCAGUGAAAUGCGUAGAGAUCGGGAGGAACAUCCGUGGCGAAGGCGACUACCUGGACCAGCACUGACACUGAGGCACGAAAGCGUGGGGAGCAAACGGG